GUCACUUUAGCUUAGUGGCAGAGCGUCUGCUUUGAGAGCAGAGGGUGGUCAGUUCGGUCCUGGUAAGUGGCU
rnacentral:tRNA from 1 species